CAUGGCAGGAAGUGUAAUGUUUGAUGAUCAUAUAUACGGUAGAUCUCUGCCUCUGGAAUAGAUUCAGCAUGCCCAAUCCCAGAAUGAAGUUGAGACAUCUGAGUUGUGUCCCCUCCUUUGUCAUAAUGCCAGCUAGUGUAAAGAUGAGAUUGAUCAAUGUACUCUAAGCUAACUAGACCUGGUGUAUUCCUAAGGGAAUAGAGAGCCAACAGGUGAAUCACAAGAAGCAACUACCUAAACAAAGUUGAGAAUCUGAGGGUGUCCUACCAAACCUAUCCUGUCCUGUUUGAAGAAUUCCAGGCCAAGAAAAGUGAUGCACAGA